GAUGAACGCUGACAGAAUGCUUAACACAUGCAAGUCAACUUGAACUUCGGUUUGGGUGGCGGACGGGUGAGUAACGCGUAAAGAACUUGCCUCACAGAUAGGGACAACAUUUGGAAACGAAUGCUAAUACCUGAUAUUAUGAUUUUAGGGCAUCCUAGGAUUAUGAAAGCUAUAUGCGCUGUGAGAGAGCUUUGCGUCCCAUUAGCUAGUUGGAGAGGUAACGGCUCACCAAGGCGAUGAUGGGUAGCCGGCCUGAGAGGGUGAUCGGCCACAAGGGGACUGAGACACGGCCCUUACUCCUACGGGAGGCAGCAGUGGGGAAUAUUGGACAAUGGACCAAGAGUCUGAUCCAGCAGUUCUGUGUGCACGAUGAAGUUUUUCGGAAUGUAAAGUGCUUUCAGUUGGGAAGAAAAAAAUGACGGUACCAACAGAAGAAGUGACGGCUAAAUACGUG
rnacentral:rRNA from 1 species